GAUGAACGCUGACAGAAUGCUUAACACAUGCAAGUCGAUGGGGAAGUGGUGCUUGCACCAUGGUAACCAUGGCGGACGGGUGAGUAACGCGUAAGGAACUUGCCUGCGGGACUGGGAUAACAGCAGGAAACUGCUGAUAAUACCGGAUAAGGUCAUUAAGCUGCAUAGCUUAGUGAUGAAAGGAGACGCCUGCGGAGAGCCUUGCGUCCUAUUAGCUAGUUGGAGGGGUAACGGCCCACCAAGGCGAAGAUAGGUAGCCGGCCUGAGAGGGUGGACGGCCACAAGGGGACUGAGAUACGGCCCUUACUCCUACGGGAGGUAGCAGUGGGGAAUAUUGGACAAUGGGGGCAACCCUGAUCCAGCAAUUCUGUGUGCACGAAGACGGUUUUCGGAUUGUAAAGUGCUUUCAGCAGGGAAGAAGGAAGUGACGGUACCUGCAGAAGAAGCGACGGCUAAAUACGUG
rnacentral:rRNA from 1 species